GAUGAAUGCUGGCGGCGUGCCUAACACAUGCAAGUCGAGCGGCAGCGAGGGGUGCUUGCACCCUGUCGGCGAGCGGCGAACGGCUGAGUAACGCGUAGGAAUUUGCCCCAAAGUGAGGAAUAACUGCCCGAAAGGGUAGCUAAUGCCGCAUAUGGUCUUCGGAUUAAAGGAUUUAUCCGCUUUGGGAGAAGCCUGCGUUGGAUUAGGUUGUUGGUAGGGUAAUGGCCUACCAAGCCGACGAUCCAUAGCUGGUCUGAGAGGAUGAUCAGCCAGACUGGAACUGCGACACGGUCCAGAAUCCUACGGGAAGCAGCAGUGAGGAAUCUUCCACAAUGGGCGAAAGCCUGAUGGAGCAACGCCGCGUGAAGGAUGAAGGCCUUCGGGUUGUAAACUUCUUUUAUGAGUGAAGAAUAUGACGGUAACUCGUGAAUAAGCACCGGCUAACUACGUG
rnacentral:rRNA from 1 species